CCCUGGCCUACUGCCGCCUCCUGCCACUCUGGGAGAGCCCUGAGGAUGACAGCAGAGAGGACAGAAGUGCCCGGUGCCGGCAGGCUGCUGAGGCCCUGGACCAGCCAGCUGGAGGCCUGCAGCCCGUCCUGGGCCGAACGAGUGCACGCACUCUAAACUGAAAUAAAGAAUACGGAGAGAUCGUACAGAGGAGACAGAGGGCGAGGACAACGGAGGCCCCGAGCUCUUCUCAUCCCCCACACACCGCACAGCCCAGACAGGGGGCCUGAGACGCUGCUAGGACUGGAGUUGCAGCCACAGCCCCCGGCACCUUGCUGCACCCACUGUAGGGCUCAGAGCCCAGACAACCUCCCUGUCGCCGAGGCCUGCUCACCUCUGGAUGCAGCCUUCGAUUUCUACUGGCCCCAAAGCCCGAGAGUCUGGAGCUGCCGCCUCAUACAUCAAAGAUGCUUUUGCACAGAGGGGAGAAUGUAGGUCAUUUUUCAAUGCGUGCGGCUCUCUCCCAGCAACCUGGAAUGCCAGAGGUGGGGCCAGGACGGCAGGGCUCUGUAAUGAGCUGCUGGAGAAGCCGACCUGCCGGAGAGGAGCAGAGGGUCCCACCCCCACCUGCUGCGUUCCUGACUCUGCCCCAGGCUCGUCUCCCGAGGCUGCUGGGAGAGCCAGAACCAAGGAGGCCGGG